rnacentral:rRNA from 1 species
GGGAAUCUUGCACAAUGGGCGCAAGCCUGAUGCAGCCAUGCCGCGUGUGUGAAGAAGGCCUUCGGGUUGUAAAGCUCUUUCAGCGAGGAGGAAAGGKUAGUAGUUARUACCUGAUAUCWGUGACGUUACUCGCAGAAGAAGCACCGGCUACUUUCGUGCCACAGGCCGCGGUAAUA